UCCUCUGGUGCCUACUGAGCUGAUAUCAGUUCUGAUUUUACAUUACUGGCUCAGUUCAGCAGAAACAGGAGU
rnacentral:pre_miRNA from 1 species